GACGAACGCUGGCGGCGUGCUUAACACAUGCAAGUCGAACGAAGUGGAGAACGGGUGAGUAACGAGUAAUCAACCUGCCCUUAAGAGGGGGACAACAGUUGGAAACGACUGCUAAUACCGCAUACUGGAGGCGGGGAUUGCGUCUGCGUAGCUAGGGGGAGGGGAAACGGCCCACCAAGGCGAUGAUGAGUAGCCGGUCUGAGAGGAUGAACGGCCACAUUUGGACUGAUACACGGCCCCGACUCCUACGGGAGGCAGCAGUGGGGAAUCUUCCGCAAUGGACGAAAGUCUUACGGAGCAACGCCGCGUGAGUGAUGACGGCCUUCGGGUUGUAAAGCUCUGUUAAUCGGGACGCGGUACCGGAAUAGAAAGCCACGGCUAACUACGUGCCAGCAGCCGCGGUAAUAC
rnacentral:rRNA from 1 species